rnacentral:tRNA from 1 species
GGAGAGGUGUCCGAGCGGCUUAAGGAGCACGCUUGGAAAGCGUGUGUGCGGGAAACGGUACCGUGGGUUCGAAUCCCACCCUCUCCG